GCCCUUAGAGUUUGAUCCUGGCUCAGGAUGAACGCUAGCGGCAGGCCUAACACAUGCAAGUCGAGGGGUAACAGGGAGUGCUUGCACUCUGCUGACGACCGGCGCACGGGUGAGUAACGCGUAUACAAUCUACCUUAUACUAGGGGAUAGCCUUUAGAAAUGAAGAUUAAUACCCUAUAGUAUGUAUUUGUGGCAUCACAGAUAUAUUAAAGGUUACGGUAUAAGAUGAGUAUGCGUCCUAUUAGUUUGUUGGUAAGGUAACGGCUUACCAAGACUACGAUAGGUAGGGGCCCUGAGAGGGGGAUCCCCCACACUGGUACUGAGACACGGACCAGACUCCUACGGGAGGCAGCAGUGAGGAAUAUUGGACAAUGGAGGCAACUCUGAUCCAGCCAUGCCGCGUGCAGGAAGACGGCCCUAUGGGUUGUAAACUGCUUUUAUACAGGAAGAAACACUCCCUCGUGAGGGAGCUUGACGGUACUGUAAGAAUAAGGACCGGCUAACUCCGUGCCAGCAGCCGCGGUAAUAAGGGCG
rnacentral:rRNA from 1 species